rnacentral:tRNA from 1 species
GCCUGGGUGGCUUAGUUGGUUAAGCUUCUGAUUUCAGCUCAGAUCAUGACCUCAAGGCUUGUGGGUUCCAGCCCCAUGUCAGGCU